rnacentral:lncRNA from 1 species
ACACACACACACACAGCCUUCUCCCAGAGAUUGUGUUCCUUCCAAGUCAGUCACCAGUCAGUACUCUUAGAGACUUAGACCAUAGGCCCAGUCUGAUCUGCCAAUUCCUUAAUUGAGGAUUUCUCUUCGGGGUAGGUUAUGUCAGCUUGACAAUAAAAGCUAACCAGCAAACCUGGUCAGGUGGGCCAGAUUAUUUCUGACUUUAAAGUUAAAAAAUUUACUAUUGUAUGUCACUGUAGAAAUCCUUUUUGUUUUUUCUCACACAACUGGAAAGAUAGCAAAAUAAGUAGAUACAGAGAGUUAAGAAUAGGCCCUUUUUAGUGUAUGAGGGGACUUUUGAGGUACUGCCCUCCCCCAUCUUUUAAGAAUGUUUUCAGAAAGGUAGAGCUUGCUGUUGCCUAAGAACCUUCUUCCUAGGGUAAAGGUUUUCACACAUACCCUGGUGCCAGCCACAGACAACUAUCAUUUUGCACCACUGGUUUAAAAUCAAAGCUGGGACAUGCACACAAAAUGCCCAAGAGCAAGACAGUUUUUGAUUCAGCCAUUUUGGGGUGUUGUCUGAGACUUUAUAACAAGUUCCUCCAAGGUGAACCCAAUAUGCCAAUCAGAGACUGUAUGCUGGGAAUAUGUGUUCUAAAGGAAAGAUGGACAGAAUGUAAUUACUAAAGAAUUAGUAGAAUCAAUCAAGUUGGCUGUUAAAGGCGUGGUUAGUCCAUCCUCAUUCUUUAGACAGUUGGGAAUCUCUGGUAGUUAGUAAUAAUGUAUGGUUGUCUGAUACAUCUCACUCGGAUGUAAUAUCAUCUAGUUUUUUGUUUAAUGUAACAUAAAGAAAGAAAGGAGCAAGGUUUCUCAGUGUGUAAAGAUGCAUCCUGCCAAGGAUGAUGGCCUGAGUUCAUCCCUGGAUACCUGCCUGGAGGAAGAGAAAAACUGACUCCCGCAGGUUGUCUGUCCUCUGAACACAUGUAAACAUACAGACAUUCACACACACCUCCCCCUAAAAAUGUAAUUAAAUUGAAAAAUAAUGCAAAUUAAAUGGAAUUUACUGUUCCAAAAAAUCAUAAUUUGGUUUCUUUUAGAUCACAGCAGAGAUAAGUAGUUUGUAAAGUAAACCUACCUAGCACAGUGAAAUAUGUUGCAGUGAGGGAUGUAUGUAUACAGCCUGUAGAGGAGCAGCUUUUGAGCAGAAGUACAGAACAGUUUCAGGAAUCUCACCAUAACUACAGGGGAAGUCCAAGCUUCAAGAGUGGAGCUAGAGCUCUGAAGUGACCUAGGUUUAUAUGCAGGUUGAAAAUCACUCCCCCCCCCCCAAUCUUUUAUAUGAAGUUAAUAAUAGUACCCACUCCCAAGAACUGUUUUUGACAAUUUUGAGGGAAUAUAGGAUUUGGUAAUGAUUAAAUGAGAUAUGUGAGAGCAUUCUCAGCACAUUGCCUAGGCGUUUUCUUCCUUCCUUGCUUCCUUCCUCCCCUCCCUCCCUCCCUCCCUCCUCCCUCCUUUUCCCCCUCCCCCUCCCCCCCCCUCUCUCUCUCUUUCUUUCUUUCUUUCUUUCUUUCUUUCUUUCUUUCUUUCUUUCUUUCUUUCUUUCUUUCUUUCUUUCUUUCUGUUUGGAAAUUGAAAAGUGUUUCCUUGAGACAUGAGAUAGCCAUAAAUGUGUGGUUUACAAUGAGACCCUUUUUGUAGUGUUCUCAGUGAAUGUUGUUUAAAUCAUAAAAAUAGCUUUUUUAUUUUACAAAAUUUAAAAGCAUGGGAUUUUCUAGAGGAGAAAACAUAAUCCUAUCCCUACCAGCCUUUUGUUUAUAUUUAUUUAUAGUAGGUGUGAGCUUGCAUGUGUGGAAGUAAAAGUGUGUGGGUGUUGGUUCUCUCCUUUAAGGAUGUAGGCUCCAGGAUGGAACUUGGGUGUCAAGCUCACCUGCUUGACUGGGCUCACUUCUAUGCAUAAUUAUUUGUCUUUUAAAGUCAGAGUUGAAGUCAGGUCUUUCUCUUUUCUAGUUAGCUGAUUAUUCUCUGUAAUACAACCUGAAUGAAUAUUUGCAUAUUAGCAACACUGAAAAAUUCUUUACUAUCAAAGACCAAUACUUGCAGAAGGAAUGAAUAAAUAGAAUAGACAAGGAAUUGCCUUUUUAUUUUGUCAACUAGCAGUCAACUCUUAUGAUCUGGAAUUAAAGACAUAGUAUAGUUAAUUUUUAAUGUUUUAUUUAUAUUUCUGGAAAUAUAAUGCACAUAGAGUGGAGUGAACAAAUCUUGUAUCUGUCAUAACUCAUACACCUUUGCUCUCCAGCCUUCAAGAUGUAGGACAGUUCUAUUACCUAGAAAGUUUCUUUGUACCUUCACCCUGUGUUGGUUACUUUUCCCAUCACUGAGACAAAACACCCGACAAAAAGCAACUUUAAGAAAGGAAAAGUUUAUUUUAACUCAGAGUUCCAGCAGGAACUUGAGGCAGCCAGUCACCUUGCAUCUGCAGUGGAGAGGAAGAUGAGUUACUAGAUAAAUUGGCUUUCUUCUUCUUUAUGUGUUCGAGGAACUUAUUCAGGGAAUGAUGCUGCCUGCUUUAAGGUUAUCGUCCCACUCUAAUGAAGCUGAUUUAGAAAAUCCACCACAGAUAAAACUAGAAGCUUGCCUCUGUAGAGAUUCUGGGUCCUGUCAAGUUGACUCUAUUAUCCACAACAUAUCUUGUAUCAGUUACUUUUCUUUCACGUUGAUAAAACACCCUGAGCAAGGCAUUCUAUAAAAGAAAGGGUUAAGACUCCUUAAACAGUACCAACAACUGGGGGCCAAUUAUUCAAAUGCCAGAUAUUAUGGGAACGUUUAUCAUUCAAACCACUACGUUCUACUCUCUGGAUAGCCUUGUAUUCAAAACAUAAUGC